rnacentral:rRNA from 1 species
GAUGAACGCUGGCGGCGUGCCUAAUACAUGCAAGUCGAGCGAACAUAUUCUGAUCUUUCUCCUUUGACAUUUUCGGCGCAAGCGUGUGUAACACAUGUAUAACACCUCUCUCAUACUCUGAUAACUUCGUUAAAAAGGAUCUCUUACCGCAUAACAUAUUGUUCCUCAUAUUUCAAUAGUUAAAGACUUGUUUGUUCUCACUCUUUGAUGUGUCCUCGCCGUAUUAGCUAGUUGGUAGGGUAAAGGCUUACCAAGGCGACGAUACGUAGCCGACCUGAGAGGGUGAUCGGCCACACUGGGACUGAGACACGGUCCAGACUCCUACGGGAGGCAGCAGUAGGGAAUCUUCCGCAAUGGGCGAAAGCCUGACGGAGCAACGCCGCGUGAGUGAAGAAGGAUUUCGGAUCGUAAAACUCUGUUAUUAGGGAAGAACGAAUGUGUAAUAAACAGAGAAGAACGAGACGGUACCUGAUCAGAAAGCCACGGCUAACUACGUG